UCUUACUAGACAUACAGGAAUAUUUUUAAUACGGAGUUUAAUAUUUCCUUUGGAUAUCCACGAGUAGAUACAUGCAGCUUUUGUGAUGAGAUUCGGGUCAACAUAGCUGCCUGCACCAACGAUGAGCAGAAGCGAAAGUUGAAACAUGAUGACCAAAAACAUAAAGACAACGCUGAUAUAUUUUACAAACGAAAGAGGCUCGCACGUAUAACAGCAUUAAAAUAUAGUUCAUUAACAGCUAUUGUCAUGGACUACCAGAAAAAUAUCUCUUUACCGGAUAUAUCGACGAACGAUGUAUAUUACAAACGCCAGCUCGCUUUCAAAGUUUUCUUUUAACAUACACGAGUUGGCAACUAAAAGGUCUUAUUUCUAUGCUUAUCCAGAGACGCAUGCCAAAAAGGGCUCGAAUGAAGUAGCUUCUUUCCUGUAUGAUUUUAUCAUAAAGAGUCCGGCAAACAUUAAACACUUGCACAUAUUCUGUGACUCAUGCGUAGAGCAGAAUAAAAAUUACAAUGUAUAUUCAUACAUUUUAUUGUGCACGAACUACGUCGUAUGGAUUGGAUUCCAUUACUAUGACAUUUCCAGUGAGAGGGCACUCUUAUUUAGGAAAUGACAAGAACAUGGGCCUCAUCAACCAAAAAACUCGAAUGGAAAUGCCUAGUGAUUGGUACGAUUUACUAAGGAGUUCACGGCAGAAACCUUUUCCCUUUGAACUUGUGGAAGUUGAGAAUGAUAUGGUGAAAUCUUGGGCAGAUGCACUGAAAAAAAAAUACGUCACUAAAUGUCUGUUUCCCAUACAAGUACUGAAGGAGAUACAAGUUCGCAAAGACGAGCCCAAAUGUAUAUUUUACCGGCAAGAUUAUAAAGCUAACUGGGUCAAAAAAGUUAUAACACAACGAUCAAGCCCUUUGCGUGCAAGAGAAUUCAACCUGCCACCGAAUGCAUACUCAAAACUCCUGCCAGUAAAAAAAGAUAAAUAUCGAGACCUGCAGUGCUUAAAAAGGUUUUGUGCUAAAGCGACUCAAGAUUUCUUAGAUACGCUACCUCAUUAUUGACUUUAAUCUACUGUUUAUCUAUGACAUAAUAUGUCAUAGAUGGUUUUCUUUUGUUUUAAGUGAAAGAGUCUCACGCUUUAAUUUCAAUCAGAAAUUAUUAAUAAGAUAUUUACGGAAAGAUGAUGAAAACUGACGAUAAUAGAUUCAUUGAACCAUGCGUAUUGGAAAAUUUGUAGGUAUAACUAUUCGUUUCAAUGUAGAUAACUUUAUAGCUCAAAACAGUGGGAAACCACUUCUAGAAAAGGUGAACAGUAUAAAAGAAUCGAUUUUUAAAUUGUCACUUCCUGGAUUCAUACAGUCCCAGCUGUUUCAUGAUAUUCUCCCAAUUUGGGUUAUAGAUCUAGAUAAAGAAAAUUAUAUUUUAACAGGAGAUUUGUGCCAAUGCGGUUAUAAUAAUGAUACCGCACAUUAUUAUGAUUUCGAACGAUUUCUCCCUGAUUUAUUCUGCAUACAAUGUGCCGGGCCGCUAUUUUCAGUAAAGUCUUAAAUCACUCCA